rnacentral:lncRNA from 1 species
AUAAAUAGAGCUCAGAGAAUCCAACAUAACCACCCAUAAAUCCAUAAAAUUUUAAGCCUUAGGCAUUAGGCAUUCCAUUCCUAAAAAAAUCAGCAUAACAGCUUCCAAAAAAUCCAUACUAAAAAAACCUAGCCCCAAUGGAAAAUCCAUACUAAAAAAACCUAGCCCCAAUGGCCACACACCAACAACCAUGCACCAUCCACUGUAAUCAAGCACCACCAUCGACCAGCCCACAUGCCACCACUAUUGGGACAAAGACCAUAGCAGGACAGACUUGCAAAACCAUUAGAAAUACCUAUACCAACCAUGCAUUAGCGACAGGAAGCAGGAGGAGAAACCUCUAGCUAGCCUUGAGGGAAACCAAUCUCAAGAGGAUGGCUAUUAACUCCGCAGAGGACUGUUACCAAUCCAUGCAAGUUGCACCUCCAUCAAACUCCGUAGAGGACUGUUACCAAUCCAUGCAAGUUGCACCUCCCUCAAACCUAGCAGAAAACCCUUACUGGAAACACUCAUCAGAUCUGGUAAUGGACCAUCAACCAAAGCAUCCACAGAUCUGAAAAGUCGAACAAACAGAGACCAAAGAAACAAAUCAACCGAUCAACUAAAUCAAGGAAGAACCUUCGUCGACUGAAUUAACUCACAACAAACCCAAAAAAAAAAAUGAAAAUAAACCAAAAACAAGUCGUGCCCUGCCAUUGAGGCAACGGAGAUGAACCGAAAAUGAAUAAAAAUGGAGCGCUUUCUCAGUCUCUUUGCUUUCCCUUUCUUUUUCUCUCAACUACCCUCUCACCCCUCUUUACCUAUUUCUCAUUGUACAGAACACUGAAUUUGCAGGUCAGACCAAUGCAAAACCCCAGCUUGCCCGUACCUUCCUUUCUCCCACUCCUGAAUGUUUCAUCUUUUACAUUUUCUUUUGGGGUUAGCCUUGAUUAGAUCCAGAAGCUGAAAAAAAAAAUCACCUGAAGUGCAGUAACAAAUCCCAAAAAUCUGAACACAUCUUUAUACCAUCUUAGAGUAAUAGCACACAUACAAUGGAUAAUGCAACAAAUCAAACUCCACAACAAAGAACUUGAGUCAAUAAUUAAUUAUGAGUGUUCAAAGAUUGGGUUGGAUGAAAUAUAAUAAUCAUCACACAUUAUUAUAUUUUACUAAAAUGAUACAAGCACCCAAAAAAAUUAAAUUUUGCAAUUUAUCAUUAAAAAUUACAUAAAUAAAGAUAAAAAUAAUU